CUGACAUUAGCCCUGGCCUGUCUGUUCCUGUCAUUUCCAAAGCUGUGUGUUCUGUCAAGACAUAUCGGGGCCUAACGUCUCUACCAAUAAAGAUGAUUGUAGUUAAAUCAACUGAAGAAAGCUGGGCAGGUGGAAGUUAAAAAUGGCUACACAAACCUGCUGGAUGUAAUGGAUGAUGCUUUCAUCGACAAUUUUGUAUCCCAGUUGGUCUGUCACGUGGAAUACUGGCAAACAUGCAAUUAGAACAGUCCCACAUGAAUAGAGAAACAAAGAUGGAGAGAGGGGACUAACCAUCCAUUAACCAACCACCAUCAGAGCAGAUAUAUGAUUUGGAAAUCACUAGGUCAAGAUCUGUCAAAACUUG